rnacentral:rRNA from 1 species
AUUGAACGCUGGCGGCAGGCUUAACACAUGCCAGUCGAGCGGGGUGAUGGUGCUUGCACUAUCACUUCGCGGCGGACGGGUGAGUAAUGCUUAGGAAUCUGCCUAUUAGUGGGGGACAACAUCUCGAAAGGGAUGCUAAUACCGCAUACGUCCUACGGGAGAAAGCAGGGGAUCACUUGUGACCUUGCGCUAAUAGAUGAGCCUAAGUCGGAUUAGCUAGUUGGUGGGGUAAAGGCCUACCAAGGCGACGAUCUGUAGCGGGGCUGAGAGGAUGAGCCGCCACCCUGGGAGUGAGACACGGCCCAGAGGCCUACGGGAGGCAGCAGUGGGGAAUAUUGGACAAUGGGGGGAACCCUAAUCCAGCCAUGCCGCGUGUGUGAAGAAGGCCUUAUGGUUGUAAAGCACUUUAAGCGAGGAGGAGGCUCUUUUGGUUAAUACCCAAGAUGAGUGGACGUUACUCGCAGAAUAAGCACCGGCUAACUCUGUGCCAGCAGCCGCAGUAA